rnacentral:rRNA from 1 species
GACGUAGGGCGCAAGCGUUGUCCGGAUUUAUUGGGGCGUAAAGAGCUCGUAGGCGGCUUUGUUUGCGUCGACUGUCGGAAAACCCGUGGCUCAACCAUGUGGUCUGCAGUCGAUACGGGGCAGGCUAGAAUUCGGGUAGGGGGAGACUGGAAUUCCUGGUGUAGCGGUGAAAUGCGCAGAUAUCAGGGAGGGAACACCCGGUGGGCCGAAAGGGCGGGG